AGUGAACGCUGGCGGUAGGCCUAACACAUGCAAGUCGAACGGCAGCACAGUAAGAGCUUGCUCUUACGGGUGGCGAGUGGCGGACGGGUGAGGAAUACAUCGGAAUCUACUUUUUCGUGGGGGAUAACGUAGGGAAACUUACGCUAAUACCGCAUACGACCUACGGGUGAAAGCAGGGGAUCUUCGGACCUUGCGUGAUUGAAUGAGCCGAUGUCGGAUUAGCUAGUUGGCGGGGUAAAGGCCCACCAAGGCGACGAUCCGUAGCUGGUCUGAGAGGAUGAUCAGCCACACUGGAACUGAGACACGGUCCAGACUCCUACGGGAGGCAGCAGUGGGGAAUAUUGGACAAUGGGCGCAAGCCGAUCCAGCCAUACCGCGUGGGUGAAGAAGGCCUUCGGGUUGUAAAGCCCUUUUGUUGGGAAAGAAAAGCAGCAGGUUAAUACCCCGCUGUUCUGACGGUUCCCAAAGAAUAAGCACCGGCUAACUUCGUG
rnacentral:rRNA from 1 species